rnacentral:rRNA from 1 species
GUGGGGGAUAUUGCGCAAUGGGGGCAACCCUGACGCAGCAACGCCGCGUGAUGGAAGAAGGCCUUCGGGUUGUAAACAUCUGUUGCAAGGGAAGAAACAAAUGACGGUACCUUGUGAGGAAGCCACGGCUAACUACGUGCCAGCAGCCGCGGUAAUACGUAGGUGGCGAGCGUUGUCCGGAUUUACUGGGUGUAAAGGGCGCGUAGGCGGGGCAGCAAGUCAGUCGUGAAAUACCGAGGCUUAACUUCGGAGCUGCGAUUGAAACUGUUGUUCUUGAGUGUCGGAGAGGAAAGCGGAAUUCCUAGUGUAGCGGUGAAAUGCGUAGAUAUUAGGAGGAACACCGGUGGCGAAGGCGGCUUUCUGGACGAUAACUGACGCUGAGGCGCGAAAGUGUGGGGAGCAAACAGG